rnacentral:tRNA from 1 species
GGUAUAGCUCAGUGGUAGAGUGCCUGCUUAGCAUGCAUGAGGUCCUGGAUUCAAUCCCCAGGAAUACCA